AUGGUGUUUGCACCCCAGGCAGCCUCCUCGAUGGGAUCGUCUUCGCCGCCGCCGUUUCACUUUGGUCAUCUCAUCACCAUCAAGCUCUCCGCAGACAACUACAUCUUCUGGCGUGCGCAGGUUCUCCCGCUCUUGGGGAGUCACUACCUGCUAGGCUACGUCGACGGAUCGCUUUCCUGCCCACCCGCGCUGGUAGACAGCGUGCACGGUCCGGUCUACAAUCCGGCCCAUCGCGUCUGGACGGGGCAGGACCAGGUGAACCUCUCCUCCAUCCAGGGGUCGCUCUCGCCGGCAGUUGCCGGCCUUGUUGUCUUCGCGAAGACGUCUCAUGAGGCAUGGACCAUCCUUGAGCGCACCUUUGCAGCGCAGUCCCAGGCUCGUGUCUCUGCACUCCGUCGUCAGCUUGGAGAGUGUCAGAAGCUUGACUCCACGGCCACUGAGUUCUACAACAAGGUCAAGGGCCUUGCCGACACAUUGGCCUCCAUUGGACAGCCCCUCACCGACUCCGAGUUCAACUCGUUUAUUGUCAAUGGUCUUGAUGAGGAGUAUGAUGCCUUAGUCGAGAUCAUCAACGAGCGGGGUAACUCGACACCCAUGUUGGCACACGAGGUUUUCUCUCGGCUUCUUCUCACUGAGCAACGGGUCGAGACUCGCCGCACCAGGGGCACUGGCUCUCUCUCGGCCAACGUCGCCACCAAGGGUGGCCGCUCUUCUUCAUCACCCCGGUCUCCCUUGGGGCUGCCACCGUCGCCCGCCUCGGCCCCCCCACCUACUGCGACCUUACCGGGGGCUGGCGGUCCACGUGUGUGUCAGCUUUGUGGCCGCGAUGGGCACUGGGCCUCCAAGUGUCAUAAGCGCUUCCAGCGAAGCUUCCUUGGUCUUGGCAAUGACGGCAAAGAUACACGCAACAAUGCCCGUCAGGUCGCCAUGGCUGAUCGUCCUGCGCCGCAGAAGCACCAGGGACACACUCAGUCCUACUCCAUCGAUCCACACUGGUACAUGGACUCUGGGGCGACAGAGCAUCUGACCAGCGAGAUGGGGAAGCUUCACACUCGUGAACCCUAUCAUGGCUCCGACAAGAUCCACACCGCCAAUGGAGCAGGAUCGGGGCACGAGGGACAUUCUUCUUAG
rnacentral:rRNA from 1 species